rnacentral:rRNA from 1 species
UGCCAGCAGCCGCGGUAAUACGAAGGUCCCAAGCGUUGUUCGGAAUUACUGGGCGUAAAGCGCACGUAGGCGGAUUGGAAAGUAGGGGGUGAAAUCCCAGGGCUCAACCCUGGAACUGCCUCCUAAACUAUCAGUCUAGAGUUCGAGAGAGGUGAGUGGAAUUCCAAGUGUAGAGGUGAAAUUCGUAGAUAUUUGGAGGAACACCAGUGGCGAAGGCGGCUCACUGGCUCGAUACUGACGCUGAGGUGCGAAAGCGUGGGGAGCAAACAGGAUUAGAUA